rnacentral:rRNA from 1 species
UACGUAGGGGCCAAGCGUUGUCCGGAAUCACUGGGCGUAAAGGGUGCGUAGGCGGGUCUUUAAGUCAGGGGUGAAAUCCUGGAGCUCAACUCCAGAACUGCCUUUGAUACUGAAGAUCUUGAGUUCGGGAGAGGUGAGUGGAACUGCGAGUGUAGAGGUGAAAUUCGUAGAUAUUCGCAAGAACACCAGUGGCGAAGGCGGCUCACUGGCCCGAUACUGACGCUGAGGCACGAAAGCGUGGGGAGCAGACAGG